rnacentral:rRNA from 1 species
UCUUCGGAAGUGAUUAAAGUGGCGCACGGGUGAGUAACGCGUAGACAAUCUGCCCUUCAGUCCGGGACAACUUUCCGAAAGGGGAGCUAAUACCGGAUAACAAUGUUUAACAUAAGUUGAAUAUUUGAAAGCUCCGGCGCUGAUGGAUGAGUCUGCGUCCCAUUAGCUUGUUGGUGCGGUAGCGGCGCACCAAGGCCACGAUGGGUAGCGGGUUUGAGAGGACGAUCCGCCACACUGGAACUGAGACACGGUCCAGACUCCUACGGGAGGCAGCAGUGGGGAAUAUUGCACAAUGGAGGAAACUCUGAUGCAGCAAUGCCGCGUGAGUGAAGAAGGCCCUUGGGUCGUAAAGCUCUUUUAUGGGGGAAGAUGAUGACGGUACCCCAAGAAUAAGCACCGGCUAACUACGUGCCAGCAGCCGCGGUAAUACGUAGGGUGCG